rnacentral:lncRNA from 1 species
CAUGUCAAAUACCUUAAGCUCUCAACAAAACUCUUAAAAUAUAUCAGGUCAACUGUCACUCCAUUACUGUGCUUUGAUAAUUUGGUCCCACAUUCAACCAGUGUACAAACCGGCUUAUAAUACUCCAUCUUGAAUUUUUUCGGUAUCCCCUUCACAUAGGCCUCCUGGGGCAUAAAAAUGUCCUCUUUGCUUUACAUGAUUUCAAUCCCAAGGAAGUAUGACAUAAGUGUUGAGAAAAAUACUUCGAAUUCGACCCACAGGUGAAGCCCAUGC